rnacentral:rRNA from 1 species
CGAUGAACCUCCUUCGGGAGGGGAUUAGUGGCGAACGGGUGAGUAACACGUGGGCAAUCUGCCCUGCACUCUGGGACAAGCCCUGGAAACGGGGUCUAAUACCGGAUACUGAUCAUCUUGGGCAUCCUGGAUGAUCGAAAGCUCCGGCGGUGCAGGAUGAGCCCGCGGCCUAUCAGCUUGUUGGUGAGGUAACGGCUCACCAAGGCGACGACGGGUAGCCGGCCUGAGAGGGCGACCGGCCACACUGGGACUGAGACACGGCCCAGACUCCUACGGGAGGCAGCAGUGGGGAAUAUUGCACAAUGGGCGCAAGCCUGAUGCAGCGACGCCGCGUGAGGGAUGACGGCCUUCGGGUUGUAAACCUCUUUCAGCAGGGAAGAAGCGCAAGUGACGGUACCUGCAGAAGAAGCGCCGGCUAACUACGUGCCAGCAGCCGCGGUAAUACGUAGGGCGCGAGCGUUGUCCGGAAUUAUUGGGCGUAAAGAGCUCGUAGGCGGCUUGUCGCGUCGGUUGUGAAAGCCCGGGGCUUAACCCCGGGUCUGCAGUCGAUACGGGCAGGCUAGAGUUCGGUAGGGGAGAUCGGAAUUCCUGGUGUAGCGGUGAAAUGCGCAGAUAUCAGGAGGAACACCGGUGGCGAAGGCGGAUCUCUGGGCCGAUACUGACGCUGAGGAGCGAAAGCGUGGGGAGCGAACAGGAUUAGAUACCCUGGUAGUCCACGCCGUAAACGGUGGGCACUAGGUGUGGGCAACAUUCCACGUUGUCCGUGCCGCAGCUAACGCAUUAAGUGCCCCGCC